rnacentral:rRNA from 1 species
UACGGAGGGUGCAAGCGUUAAUCGGAAUUACUGGGCGUAAAGCGCGCGCAGGCGGUCCUUUAAGUCUGAUGUGAAAGCCCACGGCUCAACCGUGGAGGGUCAUUGGAAACUGGGGGACUUGAGUGCAGGAGAGAAGAGUGGAAUUCCACGUGGUAGCGGUGAAAUGCGUAGAGAUGUGGAGGAACACCAGUGGCGAAGGCGACGUCUUGGCCGUGUAACUGACCGCUGAGCGCGAAAGCGUGGGGAGCAA